GACAAGAGUGAGAGAAGCUGCAUUCCCUCCGGUAUGGAGCUCCUGCUUCUGCCUGCGAAAUGUGCAGAUGGGCAAAAGUGCUGUCAACAAGAUGGCUACCAGUGACAGGCAGUGGAAGGCCCCAAGACAGGGUGUUCCAGAGUUAAUGAUCCAGAAGAGAACUUGUCCUCUUAUACCAUGACACCUAAGCUUAUUCAGAUAAUCUCAGACAGACGGAGAAAGAAAGAAAGAAAGAAAGAAAGAAAGAAAGAAAGAAAGA